AGCCGUAACACAGGUGCUGCAUGGCUGUCGUCAGCUCGUGUCGUGAGAUGUUGGGUUAAGUCCCGCAACGAGCGCAACCCUUGUCAUUAGUUGCUACAUUCAGUUGGGCACUCUAAUGAGACUGCCGGUGACAAGCCGGAGGAAGUGGGGAUGACGUCAAGUCCUCAUGGCCCUUAUAGUGGGGCUACACACGUCAUACAAUGGCUGGUACAAAGGGUUGCCAACCCGCAGGGGGAGCCAAUCCCAUAAAGCCAGUCGUAGUCCGGAUCGUAGUCUGCAACUCGACUACGUGAAGUCGGAAUCGCUAGUAAUCGUGGAUCAGAAUGUCACGGUGAAUACGUUCCCGGGUCUU
rnacentral:rRNA from 1 species